AUUGAACGCUGGCGGCAGGCCUAACACAUGCAAGUCGAGCGGAUGAGUGGAGCUUGCUCCAUGAUUCAGCGGCGGACGGGUGAGUAAUGCCUAGGAAUCUGCCUGGUAGCGGGGGACAACGUUUCGAAAGGAACGCUAAUACCGCAUACGUCCUACGGGAGAGAGUGGGGGAUCUUCGGACCUCACGCUAUCAGAUGAGCCUAGGUCGGAUUAGCUAGUGGGUGGGGUAAGGGCUAACCAAGGCGACGAUCCGUAACUGGUCUGAGAGGAUGGUCGAGCACACGUGAACUGAGGCACGGGCCAGACUCCUACGGGAGGCAGCAGUGGGGAAUAUUGGACAAUCGGCGAAAGCCUGAUCCAGCCAUGCCGCGUGUGUGAAGAGGGUCUUCGGAUUGUUAAGCACUUUAAGUUGGGAGGAAGGGCAGUAAGUUAAUACCUUGCUGUUUUGACGUUACCAACAGAAUAAGCACCGGCUAACUUCGUGCCAGCCGCCGCGGUAAUAC
rnacentral:rRNA from 1 species